CGUGCAGGCGGUUCUGUAAGUUGGAGGUUAAAUCUCUCGGCUCAACUGAGAGGCGUCCUUCAAAACUGCGGGACUUGAGGAUGGGAGAGGAAAGUGGAAUUCCCGGUGUAGUGGUGGAAUGCGUAGAGAUCGGGAGGAACACCAGUGGCGAAGGCGGCUUUCUGGCCCAUUUCUGACGCUAAGACGCGAAAGCGUGGGGAGCAAACAGGAUUAGAUACCCUGGUAGUCC
rnacentral:rRNA from 1 species